UGUAGAGAGGGGCAUUGAAGAACGUUUCCUAUUGGCUAGAAAAGAACAGUGGAGGAUCCAAGAUAGCCUUCCGCCCAUUGGUCCGGCGUUGCUAGGGCUGAGAGUAGACGUGUAGUCAUUGGCUGGCGGCCCUAGCAGGACUCUCCACGUUCCCUCUUCCGAGAAGUGCGUGGGAGCCGAGGCUUGGAAAGGAGGUAGUGGGGUUCCUGCAGGAACCCGGCCUCCAGCCGAAAGGGCUUUGAACCCAACUAAAUAUCAGUCAAAGGAGAUCAGAAUAUGACACCCUCAAAUAUGCCACUUUGGCAUAUCAAUUGUUUUGAGCUGAAGGCAACUGAGGAACAGCAGGCGCAGGAAGAGCUCUCUGCUAUCUGCGUGAAAGCUGGGCAUAAAUCUCCUAUGAAAAAAGCACAGUCCCUUUUCCAGGAAGAGAGGAUAGGAGAGCACUCCUAUCUCUGGAGGAGUCAAUGCUGAGAAUAUUCUUGGAGAAAGAGUAAAGAAAAUUUCAAGAUUCAUACAUGGAGCGCAGGACAUUGAGGUCAAGACUCUCAAACCAAAAAAGAUGACAAAAGCCUCUUCUACCUUCAGAAGAAGUGAGAUGAUCCUGACUGGGAACCAUGUGAUGUGGGAGGCAGUAGAGAACUUGGCUUAAAAAUGGAAGAUUUUUUUUUAAGGAUUGCAGGAAAACACUCUUUAAUUUAUUUACUUUAAAAUCUUAUCUUUAUUGCUUUUUCUGUUGGAGAAGUAUUAUAUGUUCACUAGAAGCCCGGUGCACGAAAUUUGUGCACUGGAGGGGGGGCGGGUCCCUCAGCCUGGCCCGUGCCCUCUCGCAGUCCAGGACCUCUCU